GUGCAGGACCUCACCUCGGUGGUGCAGACACUCCUGCAGCAGAUGCAAGAUAAAUUUCAGACCAUGUCUGACCAGAUCAUUGGGAGAAAUAUCCUUUUUAUCUGCAGUCGGCCUCCUGUGGGCCUUUGGAGCCUAUUUGCCGGGCAGUGGUGGGGAUAAAUGAGUAGUUUUCAGGCUAGCUUCAGCCAUUCACUUGUAGAAUUUGAGCUUGGAUUGUACUGUGUUUCUGAGAAGGACUGCGCCGAGAGCUAGGGGCAAAGCUGAGUUAGACUCCUGGCUCAAGGAGCAUACGUCUACCAAUCCUAAUAGCUGGUGUGGUGGACCAUGCACUGUGAACUAAGCGCUUUUGUGUGUGUCUUUUGAUGCUCAGCAUGACCUUAUGAGUGGGUUGUAGUGUUAUCAUCUUUAGCAAAUGAAUAAAUUGAGGUUUAGGGGUUCCAUCACUAGUAAGGGUCAGGGCUGGAAUCCGAUGCGGGGUAGCCAUGCCCCACAGUCCUGUACUCUUACCCACCAGCGUGUAACAGUGUCGAAAGAAAAUUGGAAGACCAGUUUCCCUAAAGUCGUUGUGUUUAAGGCUGUAGUCUGCAGGGACGGGAGGAAAAAGGCUCAAUGAGAUGUUGGCACGCGUUGUCUUUAACUUCAGCACUUGAUGAUAUGAGUAGUCGCAUUGAUGAUCUGGAAAAGAAUAUCGCGGACCUCAUGACACAGGCUGGGGUGGAAGAACUGGAAAGUGAAAACAAGAUACCUGCCACGCAAAAGAGUUGAAGUGCAUUCUCCUGAAAACAUAAGACCAUUUGACUGAUUCUGCUCCAGAAUCUUAUUGAGGCAAAGGACUGGACCGAAUUAUUCAUGGAACAGAAGCCUAGGACUGGAAACACCCAGGGAGAAGGCCACGUGAUGAUGGAGGCAGAGACUGGAGUGACGCAGCUGGGAGCCAGGGAACAUCAACGAUCACCAAGUGUCUCCAGGAACCAUCAGGAGCUGGAGGGGCGGGAAGGAUCUUCCCGGGAGCAUGGAUUUGUAGACACCUUGAUUUUGGACUUCUGCCCUCCAGAACUAUGAAAGGGCAGGACAGCCGUGUCCUACAUUUCCCGCCAUUUCCCCAUGGUGAUGGAGCUGCAGGGGUCCUGAGAGAGGGACGCUCACAAGGUCCCCGCACCACUUCCCGAGGGUCCCAGAAUGACAGAUUCGUAUUCUAAAGGAAAUGAAUGGGGUGCUGAAAGGAAUGCUCUCAGAAUGGUUUUCCUCCGGGUUCCUGAACCUAGAACGGGUUACCUGGCAUUCACCGUGUGAAGUGCUUCAGAAAAUCAGUGAGGCUGAGGCUGUGCAUCCUGUAAAAAACUGGAUGGACAUGAAGCGCCGCGUUGGGCCCUACAGAAGGUGUUACUUCUUUUCUCACUGUUCGACCCCUGGGGAGCCCCUGGUCGUUUUGCACGUGGCACUGACUGGUGACAUCUCCAGCAACAUCCAGGCAAUCGUGAAGGAACAUCCUCCAUCAGAAACAGAAGAGAAGAACAAAAUCACUGCUGCGAUCUUUUAUUCCAUCAGCUUGACCCAGCAGGGACUCCAAGGGGUGGAGCUGGGAACAUUCCUCAUAAAGCGAGUCGUCAAGGAGUUGCAGAGAGAGUUUCCUCACCUUGGGGUGUUUUCAAGUCUGUCACCUAUACCUGGUUUCACCAAAUGGCUUCUGGGGCUUCUGAACUCGCAAACGAAGGAGCAUGGGAGGAAUGAACUCUUUACAGAUUCGGAAUGUAAGGAAAUCUCGGAGAUCACAGGUGGCCCCAUUAACGAGACCCUCAAGCUCCUCCUCAGCAGCAGCGAGUGGGUGCAGUCGGAGAAGCUGGUGCGGGCGCUGCAGACUCCGCUGAUGAGGCUGUGCGCCUGGUACCUGUAUGGAGAGAAGCACCGCGGCUACGCGCUGAACCCCGUGGCCAACUUCCACCUGCAGAACGGGGCGGUGCUGUGGCGCAUCAACUGGAUGGCGGAUGUGAGCCUCAGAGGCAUCACCGGCUCCUGCGGCCUGAUGGCCAACUACCGCUACUUCCUGGAGGAGACGGGCCCCAACAGCACCUCCUACCUCGGCUCCAAGAUCAUCAAAGCCUCUGAGCAGGUCCUCAGCCUAGUGGCCCAGUUUCAAAAGAACAGCAAGCUCUGACAGUAAACCUCUCCUAAAGCACAGGGCCCCGGCUAAGAAAACGAUCAUUUUCAGGAGGGGCCGGGAGUUAUGUAUCUGAAGCAGCUUUCCAAGCAAAGCCAAAGUUGACUGUGUUCUUGUCCCGCAGCCGGUCCACACUGUGAGGCCAGGCCUCAACUUCCCUCACCCUGGGCGUGACAUGCACCCAGUGCAAGACGGUUGUGGGUGCGGGUGCACACAAAUGAGUGGGUUGCUGUGCUGUCUCCGGAAGAUUCUGUCGUUGCCCUUGGCCUGGCUCCCUGCCCGGGGCUGGUGCUGUGGUACCUACAUCUUCAGGAAGCUGUGCAGCCUCUGCCAUUGCCAUCCCAGGGGGAUCUGGCAUCCUCCUAAGGACCGGGGCGCGUGGCCCAGAUAAGAAUAGGUGUUCCUUUGUGCUCAUAAAACAGAAUGCGGCGAUGGUUGCUUUAGCCGUUUCUCACCAUGCAAUGCAGAGGGACAAAGGGCUGUGCUACACUUCCCAGUUACAUUCUGAAGCUCAUAAAUGUAUGAGAAGGUUUGUGAUUUUGCACAAGGUGUGUGUAGUAAGUUAAAUUGUUGAACACAAAAAUGUUGCUGCUUGAGGCAUAAGUUGGAUAAUAGGCUUUAAAUGAUCAGGGAUUCAGGUUCAUAAUGAACUUCACAG
ensembl:lncRNA novel transcript